UACGUAGGGGGCAAGCGUUGUCCGGAUUCACUGGGCGUAAAGGGCACGUAGGCGGCUCGGCAAAUCGGUCGUGGAAUCUCGACGCUUACCGUCGAAACGGCGGCCGAAAAUACCGGGCUCGAGGGCGUGAGGGGUCACUGGAACUCCUGGUGAAGCGGUGAAAUGCGUAGAUAUCAGGAGGAACGCCGGAGGCGAAAGCGAGUGACUGGCGCGUUCCUGACGCUGAGGUGCGAAAGCUAGGGGAGCAAACAGG
rnacentral:rRNA from 1 species